rnacentral:misc_RNA from 1 species
GAUGAAGAACGUAGCGAAAUGCGAUACUUGGUGUGAAUUGCAGAAUCCCGUGAACCAUCGAGUCUUUGGACGCAAGUUGCGCCCGAAGCCACUAGGCCGAGGGCACGCCUGCCUGGGCGUCACACGCCGUUGCCCCCCCAUCUACUCCUUCGGGAUUGCGGGGGGGCGGAUGAUGGCCUCCCGUGCGCCUAGCCGCGCGGUUGGCAUAAAUACCAAGUCCUCGGCGACGCACGCCACGACAAUCGGUGGUUGCGAAACCUCGGUUGCCCGUCGUGUGCGUUCGUCGCGCAUCGAGGGCUCGAAAAAAUGCUCGGCUCCGGCUGGGCUUUCAACGCGACCCCAGGUCAGGCGGGGUUACCCGCUGAAUUUAAGCAUAUCAAUAAGCGGAGGA